rnacentral:rRNA from 1 species
UACGGAGGGUGCAAGCGUUGUCCGGAUUUAUUGGGUUUAAAGGGUGCGUAGGUGGCUUUUUAAGUCCGGGGUGAAAGACGACGGCUCAACCGUCGCAGUGCCUUGGAUACUGGAAGGCUAGAGUAGGUUUGAGGCCGGUGGAACGGGUGGUGUAGCGGUGAAAUGCAUAGAUACCAUCCAGAACACCGAUUGCGGAGGCAGCCGGCUAAGACCUUACUGACACUGAGGCACGAAAGCGCGGGGAGCAAACAGG